UCCGUAGGUGAACCUGCGGAGGGAUCAUUACAAGUUGACCCCGGCCCUCGGGCCGGGAUGUUCACAACCCUUUGUUGUCCGACUCUGUUGCCUCCGGGGCGACCCUGUCCUCCGGGCGGGGGCCCCGGGUGGACAUUUCAAACUCUUGCGUAACUUUGCAGUCUGAGUAAAUUUAAUUAAUAAAUUAAAACUUUCAACAACGGAUCUCUUGGUUCUGGCAUCGAUGAAGAACGCAGCGAAAUGCGAUAAGUAAUGUGAAUUGCAGAAUUCAGUGAAUCAUCGAAUCUUUGAACGCACAUUGCGCCCCCUGGUAUUCCGGGGGGCAUGCCUGUUCGAGCGUCAUUUCACCACUCAAGCCUCGCUUGGUAUUGGGCGACGCGGUCCGCCGCGCGCCUCAAAUCGACCGGCUGGGUCUUUCGUCCCCUCAGCGUUGUGGAAACUAUUCGCUAAAGGGUGCCGCGGGAGGCCACGCCGUUAAACAACCCCAUUUCUAAGGUUGACCUCGGAUCAGGUAGGGAUACCCGCUGUACUUAAGCAUAUCAAUAAGCGGAGGA
rnacentral:rRNA from 2 species